CGAGGCCGAGCGAAUCCCAAAAAUAACGUCCCAGUUCGGAUUGCAGUCUGCAACUCGACUGCAUGAAGCUGGAAUCGCUAGUAAUCGCGAAUCAGAAUGUCGCGGUGAAUACGUUCCCGGGUCUCGUACACACCGCCCGUCACACCAUGAGAGUCGGGAACACCCGAAGUCCGUAGUCUAACCGCAAGGGGGGCGCGGCCGAAGGUGGGUCCGAUAAUUGGGGUGAAGUCGUAACAAGGUACC
rnacentral:rRNA from 1 species